rnacentral:lncRNA from 1 species
UGGAUCGAAUUCACCUGUUGAUACUAGUUUUUCCUUUUCUUACUUUUCAAAUAUAUAAAAUCAUCGGUGUACUUGGUAAAGGAGGAGAUGGGACUCCACUAAAAUUAACUAAGGAGUCAAAUGGGACAAGUCCUAAAGACCACGGACCGUUCAUUUUAGUUAAAAAAUUUAUAUACUACAGUUUGGUUACUCUGUUUGAGAAAUUCCGCAUCAAGGAGGACCACAGGUGUUGUAUUACAAACGAGAUGUCUGAGAAAGAAGUUGAAGAGGUAUGGAGUGAAAUAAAGCUGCUAUAAGACAAAAAAGAGAAGCAGAGAGACAAAUUAGAAGGAGGUUUAGAAACGGAUUCUCGAGUAAAAAUUUGGAAAAAUUAUUGGGUAAGUUUGAAGAAACAGUGACAAGUCUCAACACUUUGAAGACAAAGCUGAUCGAGCACAGGAAUAAAGUUGAUAUGUUGACUGUAGAAGAGCUAACCAAAGCACUAAAGGAGAACUUAUUUGCAGUAACAGAAGUAAAAGAUUUGGAAGAGAGUUAUAAGGGCAAAGGUAAAAAAUGUUGAUUCGGAGUCUCAGAGAAGUCGUGAUCAUAACUUAAAAGAGCUGAAAAUUAAGCUUGAAAUAGAAAAGAUGAAGUUGGCAAAUGAGAAAUUUGUGGAAGUCAAAGUGAGGCAGCCUAGUAACGAUAAAGAAACGCGAAGAGAAGAAUAAAGUUUGGAAAUGGACUAAUGAUAGUGAUGGGUUUAGACUCUGAGAAGAAUCUAUGAGUUGUUAUUCAAAUCAUUCCCGUUUAGAAGAAGCAUUUGUGAAAAAUACAGAACUUCUAAAUCAUAUGGUAAAAGAAUUAGUAGAAACGAAAAGAGAGUCAAAGAACUUGGUGCUUCAAAUAGCUGGAUAUAAACCUAAAAAGUGGGAUGCAGAUGCAAAGAAUUAUCAUUUGUGGCGAACAUUUUUCCAAAGAAUGUAAAUCCUUAAUAAUAAAUAUUAUUAGUGAAAUAAAUAAGAAAUUUAUAUCUACAAUAUUUAAAAAAAAUUUACAUUUUUUUUUUAAAGAUUCUCGUUUUUCCAUGAUUUCAUCUGAAAAAAUAUAUUAAUUUGAGGAUAUUGACAUUACUGAACCCUUGGUUCCAACCCUUGGUUUGAAAUGGUUGGAUUUAAAAAUGACAACAUUAUACAUUCUACCAUAGACAACAUUUAGAGCAAGACAAACCGAGUCUGUAUUAAUCUCUACUGAAAAAGAAGACAAAGAUGAUGAAGAAGAAGACAACAUGCAAAAAAAUACGUUAAUGCAACUUAUUUAAAAGGAACAAAAGACUAUAUCUAAAAAAAUAAGAAUGUGUAAGUUCCAACGAAAGCUUAUUAAAUUGGUGGCAAAGUAUUGGGAAAUAUAGAUUUCAAAAGCUAUCCCAACUUUAUUUUUCUUUGUAUAUUAUUCAAGGUUCUUCUUUUCACACCCAAGGGUCUUUUCGACAGCUAGAAAUGCACUAUGUGAUUCAAGAAAUCUCUAGUCAAAUUACAUGGCAGAAAUGCUAAUAAUAUUAAAUA